rnacentral:rRNA from 1 species
AACGUAGGUUCCGAGCGUUAUCCGGAUUUACUGGGCGUAAAGGGUGCGUAGGCGGUUCGUUAAGUCUGUCGUGAAAUCCCCGGGCUCAACCUGGGAAUGGCGAUGGAUACUGGCGAGCUAGAGUGUGUCAGAGGAUGGUGGAAUUCCCGGUGUAGCGGUGAAAUGCGUAGAGAUCGGGAGGAACAUCAGUGGCGAAGGCGGCCAUCUGGGACAACACUGACGCUGAAGCACGAAAGCGUGGGGAGCAAACAGG